rnacentral:lncRNA from 1 species
UCAAAUGUUGAACAGUGGAACAUGAAGGCAGUGAAUUUUACAGCCUUUUAAUCCAAAUUUAGAUUUGUGUAAAAUGAAAACUAACCGAAUCAAAAAGGAAUUCUGGAGUUGAAGCAAAACUGAUAUACGAUCCGAACAUUAAGGCGGAGAGGGAGAAAUACAAUGGAGCUUUCCACGUUCAUUAGGCCACGGUGGUUUGAAUCAGUGUGUAACGGUUA